rnacentral:rRNA from 1 species
AUGGGCAACUAUCUGACAAGCACAGGAGCCAAACCAGAGGAACAUGUCCAUGUUAAACCAGCGACCAGAUCCACCAAUGGCAAGGGUAGGCCAAACAUCAAACUUGAAGACCUUCCAGAGGAUGUCUUAUGCUCAAUUUUAUCAAAACUGCCUGCAAAAGAGGUUAUUCGGACCAGCGUCUUGGCGAGCAAGUGGAGGUCUAUGUGGACAGCUUGCCCCAGACUAAGUUUCGACGGUGCCCAUACCCAUAGGGUGAAGCAACAUGCCCAGGUAUUCGUCGACCGUGUUAACGCGGUUUUACGGAAGCACCGUGGCAAGUUUGCCGAUGAUCUCGAGGUUAAAUUUAUGUUUGAGAGCAAGCUAGUUCAUCACCUCGACGAUUGGAUUAGGUUUGCUAUAUCGUCCCGGACAAAGACGCUAGCUUUUAAUUUGGCACCCUUAUCCAAUCUCCUGAGACAUGGCUAUCAUUACACGUUCCCAUUCGAUCUCCUGGACAAGGAAAGCUUAUCCUGCCUACAGUGUCUGCAACUGAGCUUUGUAUGCUUCAAACCUCCUUCCCACUUCGUAGGUCUUCCAAACCUAAGAAAGCUCGAUCUCUAUUUACUGAAAGGCACCACCAGGCAGGAUCUCGAGAAUAUCUUGGGCAGCUGCUGUAGACUCGAAUGGCUGAGCCUAGUCAGAUGCCACCUGAACGAUGAGCUGAGGGUCGUUCAGCCGUUGUCGCACUUGCACUACUUGAAGGUUGUUUACUCCUCCACGGGCCCCUCUCCGUGGUGCAGUUUUUCGGCAUGCUGCCGGGUCACUCCUCCACGGGCUUCCAGAUGUACCAAACCUGACACUAGAUGUCCUAAUUCUACACCUAGAGACCCGAUGGGUGUUAAAUAG